UCACACCUUACGGUGGCAGUCUCGCUAGAGUCCCCGGCUUAACCCGCUGGCAACUAACGAUAAGGGUUGCGCUCGUUAUGGGACUUAACCCGACACCUCACGGCACGAGCUGACGACAACCAUGCAGCACCUUGUAGAUCGUCCGAAGAAGGACUGCUUUCACAAUCUGUCGCUCUACAUUUAAGCCCAGGUAAGGUUCCUCGCGUAUCAUCGAAUUAAACCACAUGUUCCUCCGCUUGUGCGGGCCCCCGUCAAUUCCUUUGAGUUUCAACCUUGCGAUCGUACUCCCCAGGUGGUUCACUUAAUGCUUUCGCUUGGCCGCUUGCUGUGUAUCGCAAACAGCGAGUGAACAUCGUUUACGGCGUGGACUAC
rnacentral:misc_RNA from 1 species